rnacentral:rRNA from 1 species
CCCGGAACUACGGAAUAACAUGAAGAAAUUUAUGCUAAUACCGUAUACGCCCUUUUGGGGAAAGAUUUAUUGGUUUCGGAUGAGCCCGCGUUGGAUUAGCUUGUUGGUAGGGUAAUGGCCUACCAAGGCGACGAUCCAUAGCUGGUCUGAAAGGAUGAUCAGCCACACUGGGACUGAGACACGGCCCAGACUCCUACGGGAGGCAGCAGUGGGGAAUAUUGGACAAUGGGCGCAAGCCUGAUCCAGCCAUGCCGCGUGAGUGAUGAAGGCCUUAGGGUUGUAAAGCUCUUUCACCGGUGAAGAUAAUGACGGUAACCGGAGAAGAAGCCCCGGCUAACUUCGUGCCAGCAGCCGCGGUAAUACGAAGGGGGCUAGCGUUGUUCGGAUUUACUGGGCGUAAAGCGCACGCAGGCGGAUAUUUAAGUCAGAGGUGAAAUCCCGGGGCUCAACCCUGGAAUUGCCUUUGAUACUGGGUAUCUGGAGUACAGAAGAGGUAAGUGGAAUUCCGAGUGUAGAGGUGAAAUUCGUAGAUAUUCNGAGGAACACCAGUGGCGAANGCGGCUUACUGGUCUGUUACUGACGCUGAGGUGCGAAAGCGUGGGGNGCAAACAGGAUUAGAUACCC